rnacentral:rRNA from 1 species
UACAGAGGGUGCGAGCGUUGUUCGGAAUUAUUGGGCGUAAAGAGCGUGUAGGCGGCUUUGCAAGUCCGUUGUGAAAACUCGAGGCUCAACCUCGAGACGCCGGUGGAAACUGCAAAGCUAGAGUCCGGAAGAGGAGAGUGGAAUUCCUGGUGUAGCGGUGAAAUGCGCAGAUAUCAGGAGGAACACCCGUGGCGAAAGCGGCUCUCUGGGACGGUACUGACGCUGAGACGCGAAAGCGUGGGGAGCAAACAGG